UACGUAGGGUGCGAGCGUUAAUCGGAAUUACUGGGCGUAAAGGGCGCGUAGGCGGCCUUCUAAGUCAGACGUGAAAUCCCCGGGCUCAACCCGGGAACUGCGUCUGAGACUGGAAGGCUUGAAUCCGGGAGAGGGAUGUGGAAUUCCAGGUGUAGCGGUGAAAUGCGUAGAUAUCUGGAGGAACACCGGUGGCGAAGGCGGCAUCCUGGACCAACACUGACACUGAGGAGCGAAAGCCAGGGGAGCAAACGGG
rnacentral:rRNA from 1 species